CAGAGCUGUGGAGUGUGACAAUGGUGUUUGUGUCCAAUAUAUCAAACGCCAUUAUCACACUAAAUAGCUACUGU
rnacentral:pre_miRNA from 11 species